AUGGACCCGCGAGUGAUCCUCGGCCCCUCCGGGAUCAUCUCUAGGAGCGAUAUUCGCGCCGACCUAGAGCGCCAUGGCCAGGACCCAGAGACGCUGGAUCUCGGCUCCAACAUGAUGCUCCACUUCGUGUACAAGUACCUCCCGGCCCCGCCCGUCUCCCCCACCGCCACCCUCCCGCUCGCCGGCACUUCAUGGGUCCCCGACGGCGUCGACCGCAUCAGCCGCCUCCCCGAUGUGGUCCUCCUCGACAUAAUCUCCCGCCUCCCCGCCAAGGACGCCGCGCGCACCGCCGCCCUCGCCUCGCGCUGGCGCCCCCUUUGGCGCUCGGCGACCCUUGCUAUUGUCGACAGCCAUAUGCUUCCGGACGGUGGCGCGUCCGGCCCGUUCAUCAUCGGCGCUCCCUCCCCCCGCGUCGUCACCGCGUCGGUCUCCAGGGCCCUCGCGGCGCACCCGGGGCCCUUCCACUUCGUCCACCUCACCUGCAGCAACAUGGACGAGCACCGAGGCGAGAUGGCGAGCUGGAUCAACACCCUCGUCGCCAAGGGGGUCCAAGAUCUCGUCUUUGUCAACCGCCCUUGGUCGAUUGACCUGUGCCUCCCCACCACACUCUUCAGCUGCGCCUCCCUCACCCGCCUCUGCCUUGGCGUCUUCAUGCUCCCAGACACCGCCGCCGUGCCGCACGGCGCCAGAUUCCCCUACCUCCGGGAGCUCAUCCUCUGCUUGAAUACCAUGGAAGAGCGUGAUCUCGCCUUCUUGCUUGAAAGAAGUCCCGUCCUGGAGUUCCUCUUCAUCAUGGGAAACCAGGCCGGCGGAGUGCGCCUCCGCCUUGCCAGCCACAGCCUGCGGUGCGUUCAGCUCGGCUUUUCCUUCUCGGAGGACAUCGAUGUGGUGGAUGCUCCUCGCCUGGAGAGGCUCUUUCAUUUUGGCGAGCUCGCCCAUUCCCACAGGAUGGACAAUACGAUCAAGAUUGGCCGUGCACCUAACCUGCGUGUGCUGGGAUACCUUCAGCCCGGAGGGCAGGAAUUGGGGAUUAGCAACACCGUCAUAGUGGCUGGGAACAAGGAGAACACUGCCCCUAGUGUCCAGAUUUUGGCCAUGGUGGUGCAGUUCGGUGUCCGCAGCGCUGUGAAGAAAGUGGCUGACUUUCUUAGAUGCUUCCCCAACCUGGAGACGCUCCAUGUCCAUUCCCCCAUCUUAUCUGAAGAGCACACUGGCAAGGUCAAUCUCAAGUUCUGGCAGGAGGAUGGUCCCAUCAAAUGCGUGGUGCAGAGCAUGAAGAAGGUGUUCUUCUACGAGUUCCGAGGGUCGAGAAGCGAGGUUGCUUUCCUCAAGUUCAUCGCGGAGCGAGGGCGGGUGCUGGAGCAGGUGGUGGUCGUGGUGGCCGAGGAAUGUUUCUCUCCGGGGGAUGAUGGUAUGAAUGCCAAGCUGAAGCCUCUGACCAGCGCAAAGUGGAACAACAAAUCUUGCAAACUGCAGCUCUUCAAGAGCCCGUUCAGUGGCGGGGGAGGUCCAGCUUACUGCCACCAGAUAGCUGCUGAUUUUGGGUUUGCUGACCCUUUCGACCUCCAGUACUACUACAAAGCAGAAAGGAUCCCUGUAAGUUAG
rnacentral:rRNA from 1 species